UACGUAGGUGGCAAGCGUUGUCCGGAAUUAUUGGGCGUAAAGCGCGCGCAGGCGGUCCUUUAAGUCUGAUGUGAAAGCCCCCGGCUCAACCGUGGAGGGUCAUUGGAAACUGGGGGACUUGAGUGCAGAAGAGGAAAGCGGAAUUCCACGUGUAGCGGUGAAAUGCGUAGAUAUGUGGAGGAACACCAGUGGCGAAGGCGGCUUUCUGGUCUGUAACUGACGCUGAGGCGCGAAAGCGUGGGGAGCAAACAGG
rnacentral:rRNA from 1 species